rnacentral:tRNA from 1 species
GAGGGUAUAGCUCAGUGGUAGAGUGUAUGCCUAACAUGCAUGAGGUGAUGGGUUCAAGCCUCAAUAUUGCCA